rnacentral:rRNA from 1 species
UGUGCCAGCCGCCGCGGUAAUUCCAGCUCCAAUAGCGUAUAUUAAAGUUGUUGCAGUUAAAAAGCUCGUAGUUGAAUCUUGGGUCUGGCUGGCCGGUCCGCCUCACCGCGUGUACUGGUCCGGCCGGGCCUUUCCUUCUGGAGAGCCCCAUGCCCUUCACUGGGUGUGCGGGGGAACCAGGACUUUUACUUUGAAAAAAUUAGAGUGUUCAAAGCAGGCCUUUGCUCGAAUACGUUAGCAUGGAAUAAUAGAAUAGGACGUGCGGUUCUAUUUCGUUGGUUUCUAGAACCGCCGUAAUGAUUAAUAGGGAUAGUCGGGGGCAUCAGUAUUCAAUUGUCAGAGGUGAAAUUCUUAGAUUUAUUGAAGACUAACUACUGCGAAAGCAUUUGCCAAGGAUGUUUUCAUUAAUCAGUGAACGAAAGUUAGGGGAUCGAAGACGAUCAGAUACCGUCGUAGUCUCAACCGUAAACUAUGCCGACUAGGGAUCGGGCGGUGUUUCUAUCUUGACCCGCUCGGCACCUUACGAGAAAUCAAAGUUUUUGGGUUCUGGGGGGAGUAUGGUCGCAAGGCUGAACUUAAAGAAAUUGACGGAAGGGCACCACCAGGCGUGGAGCCUGCGGCUUAAUUUGACUCAACACGGGGAAACUCACCAUGUCCAGAUGAAAUAAAGACUGACAGAUUGAGAGCUCUUUCUUGAUUUUUCAGUGGUGGUGCAUGGCCGUUCUUAGUUGGUGGAGUGAUUUGUCUGCUUAAUUGCGAUAACGAACGAGACCUUAACCCUGCUAAAUAGCCA